rnacentral:rRNA from 1 species
GAUACCCUGCUUCCAGGAAAAGCCACUAAGCUUCAGCUACACACGACCGUACCGCAAACCGACACUGGUGCGCGAGAUGAGUAUUCUAAGGCGCUUGAGAGAACUCAGGAGAAGGAACUCGGCAAAUUGACACCGUAACUUCGGAAGAAGGUGUGCCUUUAGUAGGUGAAGUCCCUGCGGAUGGAGCCCAAUAAGGUUGCAAAAAAUCGGUGGCUGCGACUGUUUAAUAAAAACACAGCACUCUGCAAACACGAAAGUGGACGUAUAGGGUGUGACGCCUGCCCGGUGCUGGAAGAUUAAAUGAUGGGGUGCAAGCUCUUGAUUGAAGUCCCAGUAAACGGCGGCCGUAACGAUAACGGUCCUAAGGUAGCGAAAUUCCUUGUCGGGUAAGUUCCGACCUGCACGAAUGGCGUAACGAUGGCCACACUGUCUCCUCCUGAGACUCAGCGAAGUUGAAAUGUUUGUGAUGAUGCAAUCUCCCCGCGGAAAGACGGAAAGACCCCAUGAACCUUUACUGUAGCUUUGUAUUGGACUUUGAACGGAUCUGUGUAGGAUAGGUGGGAGGCUUUGAAGCAGGGUCGCUAGAUCUUGUGGAGCCAACGUUGAAAUACCACCCUGGUGCGUUUGAGGUUCUAACCUAGGUCCAUUAUCUGGAUCGGGGACAGUGCAUGGUAGGCAGUUUGACUGGGGCGGUCUCCUCCCAAAGCGUAACGGAGGAGUUCGAAGGUACGCUAGUUACGGUCGGACAUCGUGACGAUAGUGCAAUGGCAUAAGCGUGCUUAACUGCGAGACUGACAAGUCGAGCAGAUGCGAAAGCAGGACAUAGUGAUCCGGUGGUUCUGUAUGGAAGGGCCAUCGCUCAACGGAUAAAAGGUACUCUGGGGAUAACAGGCUGAUACCGCCCAAGAGUUCAUAUCGACGGCGGUGUUUGGCACCUCGAUGUCGGCUCAUCUCAUCCUGGGGCUGUAGCCGGUCCCAAGGGUAUGGCUGUUCGCCAUUUAAAGAGGUACGUGAGCUGGGUUUAAAACGUCGUGAGACAGUUUGGUCCCUAUCUUCCGUGGGCGCUGCAGAUUUGAGAAAGCCUGCUCCUAGUACGAGAGGACCGGAGUGGACGCACCUCUGGUGUAUCGGUUGUCACGCCAGUGGCAUUGCCGAGUAGCUAAGUGCGGAAGAGAUAACCGCUGAAAGCAUCUAAGCGGGAAACUCGUUUCAAGAUGAGAUCCGCCGGGGCCUUGAGCCCCCUAAAGAGUCGUUCAAGACCAGGACGUUGAUAGGUCAGGUGUGGAAGCGCAGUAAUGCGUUAAGCUAACUGAUACUAAUUGCUCGUGCGGCUUGACC